rnacentral:rRNA from 1 species
ACGAACGCUGGCGGCGUGCCUAAUACAUGCAAGUCGAACGCUUCUUUUUCCACCGGAGCUUGCUCCACCGGAAAAAGAGGAGUGGCGAACGGGUGAGUAACACGUGGGUAACCUGCCCAUCAGAAGGGGAUAACACUUGGAAACAGGUGCUAAUACCGUAUAACAAUCGAAACCGCAUGGUUUUGAUUUGAAAGGCGCUUUCGGGUGUCGCUGAUGGAUGGACCCGCGGUGCAUUAGCUAGUUGGUGAGGUAACGGCUCACCAAGGCGACGAUGCAUAGCCGACCUGAGAGGGUGAUCGGCCACAUUGGGACUGAGACACGGCCCAAACUCCUACGGGAGGCAGCAGUAGGGAAUCUUCGGCAAUGGACGAAAGUCUGACCGAGCAACGCCGCGUGAGUGAAGAAGGUUUUCGGAUCGUAAAACUCUGUUGUUAGAGAAGAACAAGGAUGAGAGUAACUGUUCAUCCCUUGACGGUAUCUAACCAGAAAGCCACGGCUAACUACGUGCCAGCAGCCGCGGUAAUACGUAGGUGGCAAGCGUUGUCCGGAUUUAUUGGGCGUAAAGCGAGCGCAGGCGGUUUCUUAAGUCUGAUGUGAAAGCCCCCGGCUCAACCGGGGAGGGUCAUUGGAAACUGGGAGACUUGAGUGCAGAAGAGGAGAGUGGAAUUCCAUGUGUAGCGGUGAAAUGCGUAGAUAUAUGGAGGAACACCAGUGGCGAAGGCGGCUCUCUGGUCUGUAACUGACGCUGAGGCUCGAAAGCGUGGGGAGCAAACAGGAUUAGAUACCCUGGUAGUCCACGCCGUAAACGAUGAGUGCUAAGUGUUGGAGGGUUUCCGCCCUUCAGUGCUGCAGCUAACGCAUUAAGCACUCCGCCUGGGGAGUACGACCGCAAGGUUGAAACUCAAAGGAAUUGACGGGGGCCCGCACAAGCGGUGGAGCAUGUGGUUUAAUUCGAAGCAACGCGAAGAACCUUACCAGGUCUUGACAUCCUUUGACCACUCUAGAGAUAGAGCUUCCCCUUCGGGGGUAAAGUGACAGGUGGUGCAUGGUUGUCGUCAGCUCGUGUCGUGAGAUGUUGGGUUAAGUCCCGCAACGAGCGCAACCCUUAUUGUUAGUUGCCAUCAUUUAGUUGGGCACUCUAGCAAGACUGCCGGUGACAAACCGGAGGAAGGUGGGGAUGACGUCAAAUCAUCAUGCCCCUUAUGACCUGGGCUACACACGUGCUACAAUGGGAAGUACAACGAGUCGCAAAGUCGCGAGGCUAAGCUAAUCUCUUAAAGCUUCUCUCAGUUCGGAUUGUAGGCUGCAACUCGCCUACAUGAAGCCGGAAUCGCUAGUAAUCGCGGAUCAGCACGCCGCGGUGAAUACGUUCCCGGGCCUUGUACACACCGCCCGUCACACCACGAGAGUUUGUAACACCCGAAGUCGGUGAGGUAACCUUUUGGAGCCAGCCGCCUAAGGUGGGAUAGAUGAUUGGGGUG